ACCAACACCGUAAAGGCUUCUGGCACUCUAAAUGAGAGACUAUUUACGGUAGCCUACAAUUCCAAGAAGGAAGCCAUCAUGAAUGGGAAGAAAGAAUCGCCAAUUUCGGACAUAUUAGUUUUUAACAAAAUAAGGGAAAAGCUUGGAGGAUGAGUGUGUUUUAUGAUAUACGAUGCUUCCCCUCUUUCGCCUGAAGUAAUGGAGUUCUUGAGAGUGUGUUUUGGCUACGUAGUAGUUUAGGGAUAUGGCAUGACAGAGACUUGUAGCAUCAUAUCCUUGGUGGAAGAAAGUGAUAGCUUGACUGGUCAUGUUGGGCCUCCUAGUACUGCCUGUGGUGUUUUUACUGUAGUCACCAUGUGGGCAGUUGUUGUAAUUGAGGGUUGCAGGAAAAUAAAACUGCAGUAUUAUGGGUUUAAACUAGCAUCUGU